CGCACGGGUGAGUAACACGUGAGUAACCUGCCCCAAGGCUUGGGAUAACAGCUCGAAAGGGCUGCUAAUACCGGAUACGCCCCCGUGACUGCGGUCAAGUGGGGAAAAGAGGGGGAACCUUCGGGACCUCUCACCUUGGGAUGGGCUCGCGACCCAUUAGGUAGUUGGUGGGGUAACGGCCUACCAAGCCUUCGAUGGGUAGCUGGUUUGAGAGAACGAUCAGCCACACUGGAACUGAGACACGGUCCAG
rnacentral:rRNA from 1 species